rnacentral:rRNA from 1 species
UACGUAGGGCGCAAGCGUUAUCCGGAAUUAUUGGGCGUAAAGCGCGCGCAGGUGGAUUUUCUUAAGUCUGAUGUGAAAGCCCUGGGCUCAACCUGGGAAUUGCAUUGGAUACUGGCAGGCUAGAGUGCGGUAGAGGAUGGCGGAAUUCCCGGUGUAGCAGUGAAAUGCGUAGAGAUCGGGAGGAACAUCUGUGGCGAAGGCGGCCAUCUGGACCAGCACUGACACUGAGGCACGAAAGCGUGGGGAGCAAACAGG